AAUUAUAUGCCUGAUAAAAGGGUUAAUUUGAUAGAUUAAAUAAUGUAUAAUUC
rnacentral:tRNA from 1 species